UCGGAUGUGGUGUUUCGUCAAUAUGCAACUCGUUGCAUAUUGAGCUCCACUUAACUUGUAGUAUUGUGUGUUGCACUUUGCCAUGCCAUGCCUCAUUAAACCGGACAUGCAUCAUACUUGAUUGUGCAUCAUGCCAUAUUUAUGCUUGUGUGUUUACCAUGUUGUUUGUUUCUUUCCGGUGUUGCUUCUUAGUCCCGGUAAUGUUGCGAUUGUGAGGAUUCGUUCGACUACGUCCGUUUGUCUUCUUCAUGGACUCGUUCUUCUUCCUAGCGGGAUUUCAGGCAAGAUGACCGCUACCCUGGAUCUCACUACUAUCAUUGCUAUGCUAGUUGCUUCGUUCUAUCGCUAUGUUGCGCUACCUAUCAUUUUGUUCUAUCAAGCCUCCCAAAUUGCCAUGAACCUCUAACCUUUGACAUCAUUCCUAGCAAACCGUUGCUUGGCUAUGUUACCGCUUUGCUCAGCCCUCUUAUAGCGUUGCUAGUUGCAGGUGAAGUUGAAGAUUGCUCCAUGGUGGACAGGGUUGUGUUGGGAUAUCACAAUAUCUCUUAUAUUAUUAAUGCAUCUAUAUAUUUGUUAAAGGGUGGAAGGCUCGUCCUUAUGCCUGGUGUUUUGUUCCACUCUUACCGCCCUAGUUUCCGUCAUACCGGUGUUAUGUUCCCGGAUUUUGCGUUCCUAACGCGGUCGGGUGAUUUAUGGGACCCCCUUGACAGUUUGCUUUGAAUAAAACUUGUCCAGCAAGGCCCAACCUUGGUUUUACCAUUUGCCUCACCACCACCUAUACCCUUCCCUUGGGUCGGCCAACCCGAGGGUCAUCUUUAUUUUAGCCCCCCCGGGCCAGUGCUUGUCUAAGUGCUGGUCCGAACCGAGUAGACUACGGGGCCCCCUCAGGGCAACUCGAGGUCUGGUUUUACUCAUAGGAUGUCUCAUCCGGUGUUGCCCUGAGAACGAGAUAUGUGCAGCUCCUAUCGGGAUUGUCGGCGCAUCGGGCGGCUUUGCUGGUCUUGUUUUACCAUUGUCGAAAUGUCUUGUAAACCGGGAUUUCGAGACUAAUCGGGUCUUCCUGGGAGAAGGUCUAUUCCUUCGUUGAUCGCGAGAGCUUGUCAUGGGCUAAGUUGGGACACCCCUGCAGGGUAUAAACUUUCGAGAGCCGUGCCACGGUUAUGUGGCAGAUGGGAAUUUGUUAAUGUCCGGUUGUAGAUAACUUGACACCAGAUCCGAAUUAAAAUGCAUCAACCGCGUGUGUAGCCAUGAUGGUCUCUUCUCGGCGGAGUCCGGGAAGUGAACACGGUUUCUGGGUUAUGUUUGACAUAAGUAGGGGUUCAGGAUCACCUCUUGAUCAUUGCUAGCUUCACGACCAUUCCUUUGUUUCUCUUCUCGCUCUCAUUUGCGUAUGUUUGCCAUCAUAUAUGCUUAGCCGCUGCUGCAACCUCACCACUUUACCCCUUCCUUACCCAUUAAGCUUUGCUAGUCUUGAUACCCAUGGUAAUGGGAUUGCUGAGUCCUCGUGGCUCACAGUUACUUCCAAAACCAGUUUGCAGGUGCCGAUGUUACCGAGCAGGUGACACCACCAAGCUCAAGGAGGAGCUCGAUGAAGAUCUUGCCCUUUGUGUUGUUUCGUUCUAGUUGAUCAGUAGUGGAGCCCAGUUGGGGUCGAUCGGGGACCUUUGUCGCAUUUGGGGUUCUUCUUUUAUUUCGGUUCCGUAGUCGGGCCUUGAUUGUAUCUGUAUGAUGUAAUGCUUUACUCAUGUAUUGUGUGAAGUGGCGAUUGUAAGCCAACUAUGUAUCUCUUUCCCUUAUGUAUUA
rnacentral:lncRNA from 1 species